rnacentral:rRNA from 1 species
CCGGAGCUAAUCCCGGAAAAGCAUUCUCAGUUCAGAUUGGAGGCUGAAACCCGCCUCCAUGAAGUCGGAGUUGCUAGUAACCGCAGGUCAGCAUACUGCGGUGAAUACGUUCUCGGGCCUUGUACACACCGCCCGUCACGUCAUGAAAGCUGGCAACACCUGAAGUCGAUAGGCUAACUCGCAAGAGAGGCCAUCGCCCAAGGUGGGGCUGGCGAUUGGGACGAAGUCGUAACAAGGUAGCUGUAGCGGAAGCUGCGGCUGGAUCACCUCCUUU